rnacentral:tRNA from 1 species
GUUGAUGUAGCUUAAUGAAUAAAGCGAAGCACUGAAAAUGCUUAGAUGAGAAAUUUUCAAAGCUCCAUAAACA